GGGGUAGGGGAACCGUGUCAGAACUGUCUGUCUGAGAAACUUUCUCUUAGAUCACCAGUCAGUAGGGUACCAGCAUCUGCCGAUGCCAACCAAAAGGCAUGAGUCACAGCGGACAGCUUUAGAAAACACAUUUCCUUCCACUGUUAGCAAUGCAUGACUCACUAGACCUCUCCAGAUUCUCCACUCCACAAAUGACUCGAGAAGUCUACCAAGGACAGAGCACAAACCUUUCUCUCUUCUCCUGCCAGGAUUUCUCAUUUCAAUUAUCACUGACUUGUUGACUUACUUCAAAGACAGUAUACAUCUUGGUCUGUUCUCUGUCCUCUCUCAAAAACUGGUGGUGUGUGAUUUACCUAAAGAUGGCUCCUGAAGGGCUGCAGGAGAACAGAGAUUGAACAUUAUAGUUCAUGCCCAAAGCAGUCGUCAACUGGUCAACUUUUGCUACUUCGGAAACUGAGCUGUGAGACUUUAAAUACUUGGUGCUACAUUUGAAUCCUGAAUACCUGAGUGCAACCCCCAGCCAGCUGGAAUAGAGACUUUCAAUGGCUGUAAACUCUGAGUGGUCUCCUCUGUGUUUCCUCGGAACCUUGGAGGAAGAAUUUGACACAGAUGCGCUCAGUUACUUCUUCUGAGGAUGUUGAACAGUUAUGAGUCUCUUCAUUAACCACCACCUUCUGCACUAAGAAGUUUCUCUGACCAAGGUUGAGAGCAGUGCUGAUGUGUUGAUAAAAGCCCAGUGGCGAGCUUGGCUCAGAAACAUUUUAAAAUCAGCUGAAUGGGUCUGAUGUCCAGUGUACGUGAGCACAAGGGACAGGUCACAGAAGGUCUAGACAGAAAGAUAGCUCUGGCUUCUGUUAGUGUGAUAAAAGGGGGUGGAGAGAUGGGAGAUAGCAUCCAUACGACAGAGCAGCUAGCUGAAAACAGGAUAUGGUAAGUGGAUUGAAGGUGAAGUCACAGAUGCUGUCCAAACUUUGCUGGUCAAGGGGUAUAUUCAGCAAUAUAGGAGCCUUAUGGGGACAUUGUUUUGAUGUUUGGACUAGAGGUAGAAAUAAGUUUUACCUUGGGAAAAAUGGAUUUGAGUUACCUCUGAAACAUGUAGAAUGUGUCCAGGAAACAAUGGAAUAAAAGUAAGAAUCUGAGGAGAGAAAUCUGGAAAGAAAAAUAGAUUCAUGAGUCAUCAA
rnacentral:lncRNA from 1 species